GGUAUAAUAGCAGAGCAAAUCAUUGAAAAAAUUCGGGUUGUGAGAGAGUCAAAAAAAUUUAAAGCUGCUAUCAUCCGAAUCGACAGCCCUGGUGGUGAUGCUCUAGCCUCAGACUUAAUGUGGAGGGAGAUUAGGCAAUUGGCUGCAUCAAAGCCUGUUAUUGCAUCAACGGUUGAUGUAGCAGCUAGU